AUUGAACGCUGGCGGCAUGCUUUACACAUGCAAGUCGAACGGUAACAGGCCGCAAGGUGCUGACGAGUGGCGAACGGGUGAGUAAUGCAUCGGAACGUGCCCAGUCGUGGGGGAUAACGCAGCGAAAGCUGCGCUAAUACCGCAUACGAUCUAUGGAUGAAAGCGGGGGACCUGUAAGGGCCUCGCGCGAUUGGAGCGGCCGAUGUCAGAUUAGGUAGUUGGUGGGGUAAAGGCUCACCAAGCCGACGAUCUGUAGCUGGUCUGAGAGGACGACCGGCCACACGGGGACGGAGACACGGCCCAGACUCCUACGGGAGGAAGCAGUGGGGAAUUUUGGACAAUGGGCGCAAGCCUGAUCCAGCAAUGCCGCGUGCAGGAAGAAGGCCUUCGGGUUGUAAACUGCUUCUGUACGGAACGAAACGGCUCUGGUUAAUACCUGGGGCUAAUGACGGUACCGUAAGAAUAAGCACCGGCUAACUACGUGCCAGCCGCCGCAGUAACAC
rnacentral:rRNA from 1 species